rnacentral:rRNA from 1 species
AUUGAACGCUGGCGGCAUGCCUUACACAUGCAAGUCGAGCGGUAACAGGUCUUCGGAUGCUGACGAGUGGCGAACGGGUGAGUAAUACAUCGGAACGUGCCUAGUAGUGGGGGAUAACUACUCGAAAGAGUGGCUAAUACCGCAUGAGAUCUACGGAUGAAAGCAGGGGAUCGCAAGGCCUUGUGCUACUAGAGCGGCCGAUGGCAGAUUAGGUAGUUGGUGGGAUAAAAGCUUACCAAGCCGACGAUCUGUAGCUGGUCUGAGAGGACGAUCAGCCACACUGGGACUGAGACACGGCCCAGACUCCUACGGGAGGCAGCAGUGGGGGAUUUUGGACAAUGGGCGCAAGCCUGAUCCAGCAAUGCCGCGUGCAGGAUGAAGGCCUUCGGGUUGUAAACUGCUUUUGUACGGAACGAAAAGCCCUGGGUUAAUACCCUGGGGUCAUGACGGUACCGUAAGAAUAAGCACCGGCUAACUACGUGCCAGCCGCCGCGGUAAGAC